CUUAAAUUGAAGAGUUUGAUCAUGGCUCAGAUUGAACGCUGGCGGCAGGCCUAACACAUGCAAGUCG
rnacentral:rRNA from 3 species